UCCCGAUUGAAAUGUUUCAGUUGCCGCCCGCAGCCUCCAACAGGAAUUCCAAAAAAUGGGAUCCCAAAAGGAUAUUUCAAAAGUUGGCUGUGAAAGUUAUAAGGAUCAGUAACCGGUUGUCCUUAUCCACGCAAGCAUUUGAACCCAAACAGUAAAGUGAGAUUGUCUUGUUGACCUCCAUGGCUGUUGUGACCUGGUCACAGCACAGAUGAUCAGCACCAGGUGGAGCGUGGCAGAGCCUGCUGAGAACAGGCAAGACUUCCAGUUUCCUCAGGAAGAAUUUUGCUGCAGGGAAAUUCCACUGAAAUCUAAGAUGGAGUGAUAACUAUAAGAGAUAUAGGCCUGACACCAUCUCAUCCCCCUCACAGCAUCUAUCAGAUGGCAAGCAACGGCCAGGGUGAAUUAUUUGCUUGCCAAGUUAGCACAUUUUGCAUGAUGCUAUAAAUGCAAGUAAAAUGAAGAAACA